rnacentral:pre_miRNA from 1 species
UAAUUACUCCCUCCGUCCGGAAAUACUCGUCAUAGGAAUGGAUGUAUCUAGAUGUAUUUUAGUUCUAGAUACAUCCAUUUUUAUCCAUUUUUGCGACAAGUAAUUUUGGAUAGAGGGUGUAUUUU